AGUGAACGCUGGCGGUAGGCCUAACACAUGCAAGUCGAACGGCAGCACAGGAGAGCUUGCUCUCUGGGUGGCGAGUGGCGGACGGGUGAGGAAUACAUCGGAAUCUACCUUUUCGUGGGGGAUAACGUAGGGAAACUUACGCUAAUACCGCCUACGACCUACGGGUGAAAGUGGGGGACCGCAAGGCCUCACGCGAUUAGAUGAGCCGAUGUCCGGUUAGCUGGUUGGCGGGGUAAUGGCCCACCAAGGCGACGAUCGGUAGAUGGUCGGAGAGGAUGAUCAGCCACACUGGAACUGAGACACGGUCCAGACUCCUACGGGAGGCAGCAGUGGGGAAUAUUGGACAAUGGGCGCAAGCCUGAUCCAGCCAUACCGCGUGGGUGAAGAAGGCCUUCGGGUUGUAAAGCCCUUUUGUUGGGAAAGAAAUCCUGUCGAUUAAUACUCGGUGGGGAUGACGGUACCCAAAGAAUAAGCACCGGCUAACUUCGUGCCAGCCGCCGCGGUAAAAC
rnacentral:rRNA from 1 species